CCUACGGGUGGCAGCAGUGGGGAAUAUUGGGCAAUGGGCGCAAGCCUGACCCAGCAACGCCGCGUGAAGGAAGAAGGCUUUCGGGUUGUAAACCUCUUUUGACAGGGAAGAGUAGAAGACGGUACCUGUCGAAUAAGCCACGGCUAACUACGUGCCAGCAGCCGCGGUAAUACGGAGGUGGCAAGCGUUGUCCGGAUUGACUGGGCGUAAAGGGUGCGUAGGUGGUUUGGCAAGUUAGUAGCGAAACUCCAAGGCUCAACCUUGGAACUACUACUAAAACUGUUGGACUUGAGUGCAGGAGGGGCAACCGGAAUUUCUAGUGUAGCGGUGAAAUGCGUAGAUAUUAGGAGGAACACCAGUGGCGAAGGCGGGUUGCUAGACUGUAACUGACACUGAGGCACGAAAGCGUGGGGAGCAAACAGGAUUAGAUACCCGAGUAGUC
rnacentral:rRNA from 1 species